rnacentral:rRNA from 1 species
CUACGGGCGGCAGCAGUGAGGAAUUUUGCGCAAUGGGGGAAACCCUGACGCAGCAACGCCGCGUGAGUGAUGAAGGCUUUCGGGUCGUAAAACUCUGUCAAGUGGGAAGAACCUGUAAUAUGCUAAUAUCAUAUUGCACUGACGGUACCACUGAAGGAAGCACCGGCUAACUCCGUGCCAGCAGCCGCGGUAAUACGGAGGGUGCAAGCGUUACUCGGAAUCACUGGGCGGUAAAGGGCGCGCAGGCGGUCCGAUUAGUCAGAUGUGAAAGCCCGGGGCUUAACCCCGGAAGUGCAUUUGAAACUGUCGGACUUGAGUAUGGGAGAGGGAAGUGGAAUUCCUGGUGUAGAGGUGAAAUUCGUAGAUAUCAGGAGGAACAUCAGUGGCGAAGGCGACUUCCUGGACCAAUACUGACGCUGAGGCGCGAAGGCGUGGGGAGCAAACAGGAUUAGAUACCCUCGUAGUC